CUUGUUUUUACAGAUGACAACACCAAUAUCAAUUGAAGAUGUUCGUAGAGAGGUCAAAAUCCUCAAAGCCUUGUCCAACCAUAAUAAUCUUGUCAAAUUUUAUGAUGCAUGUGAGGAUGCACUUAACGUCUACGUAGUCAUGGAAUUAUGUGAAGGUGGAGAAUUAUUAGAAAGAAUUUUAUCCAGAGGUGGAAGGUACUCAAAAAAGG